GACGAAGAAGGGCGGAGCGCAUGAGGGGCACUACUGAGGCUAAAGCCUGCAGUCGCUAGAACUUCGUCCGUGCUAGGCGAGUGCUCUGCUGCGCAGCUCCACGCCCAGUCCGACCUUGCACUCCUCAGUCGCACACGAGGCCCGCAAUCCUCCCAAAAACACUGGCCCAAGCUGCUCACAAGUUUAAACUCAGGACUUCAGACCACGUACCUUUAAGACGAAGCA